rnacentral:tRNA from 1 species
AGACAUAUAGUUCAAGGGAGAAUAAUUACCUCUUAGUGUGAGCUCGAGCCGUCUUGUAGGCCGGCUCGCUCUACCGGAGAUGGGAGUUCGACUCUCUCUAUUUCUA